UGGCCUGUAUAGGUACUGCAUGCACA
rnacentral:piRNA from 1 species